rnacentral:pre_miRNA from 1 species
UUUUUCAUGAUUUAACGUCAAUAUUUUUAGCAAAUCUUCUAUUUUUAGGGUUCUAAUGUCAUAUUUUGACAUAUUUUCUAUUUUUAGGGACU